GCCCAGGUGGUGGAAUAGGUAGACACACCAGAUUUAGGUUCUGGUACCGAAAGGUGUGCAGGUUCGAAUCCUGUCUUGGGCA
rnacentral:tRNA from 1 species